rnacentral:rRNA from 1 species
GGUCAUCUGACCAAAGGACAAUAUGGCCGUGUGAGUGCUUUGGAAACAUCUAAGCUAGUCUGGGACUGGCUCUCCAAGGUCAACGAAGGCGUCUCAACCCAGAGAGAUCAGAGAAUCAGUGUCCUUCGCAACCUCUUCAACCGCUUCAAGAGAAAUGACAAUGAGAAUGUUCAGCUCACGUUUGAUCGACUCACUGACAUCACAAAUGAGCUUCAAGCCCUCGGCGCCACUGAGAUCACCAAGCAUGAAGUUGUCAAGACACUCCUGAGAUCACUUGACAGCUCGUUUGACACCUUA